rnacentral:rRNA from 1 species
AACGAACGCUGGCGGCAGGCUUAACACAUGCAAGUCGAACGCACCGCAAGGUGAGUGGCAGACGGGUGAGUAACGCGUGGGAACCUUCCUUUUAGUAAAGAAUAGCCCAGGGAAACUUGGAUUAAUACUUUAUACGCCCUACGGGGGAAAGAUUUAUCGCUAAAAGAUGGGCCCGCGUUGGAUUAGCUAGUUGGUGAGGUAAUGGCUCACCAAGGCUACGAUCUAUAGCUGAUCUGAGAGAUGAUCAGCCACACUGGAACUGAGACACGGUCCAGACUCCUACGGGAGGCAGCAGUGGGGAAUAUUGGACAAUGGGCGCAAGCCUGAUCCAGCCAUGCCGCGUGAAUGACGAAGGCCUUCGGGUUGUAAAGUUCUUUAGCAGGGGAAAAUCAUGAUGGUACCCUGAAAAUAAGCUCCGGCUAACUUCGUGCCAGCAGCCGCCGUAA